UAAGGAGUAGAACUUGUUGCGUUAAGUGCUAGUGGAACGGAAUGUGAACACUAGACGAAAGCAAUUGCUGCGGUAACAAGUUCGCAUUCGCCAAA
rnacentral:ncRNA from 2 species